rnacentral:rRNA from 1 species
AGUGAACGCUGGCGGUAGGCCUAACACAUGCAAGUCGAACGGCAGUACAGAGGAGCUUGCUCCUUGGGUGGCGAGUGGCGGACGGGUGAGGAAUACAUCGGAAUCUACUCUGUCGUGGGGGAUAACGUAGGGAAACUUACGCUAAUACCGCAUACGACCUACGGGUGAAAGCAGGGGAUCUUCGGACCUUGCGCGAUUGAAUGAGCCGAUGUCGGAUUAGCUAGUUGGCGGGGUAAAGGCCCACCAAGGCGACGAUCCGUGGCUGGUCUGAGAGGAUGAUCAGCCACACUGGAACUGAGACACGGUCCAGACUCCUACGGGAGGCAGCAGUGGGGAAUAUUGGACAAUGGGCGCAAGCCUGAUCCAGCCAUACCGCGUGGGUGAAGAAGGCCUUCGGGUUGUAAAGCCCUUUUGUUGGGAAAGAAAUCCAGCCGGCUAAUACCUGGUUGGGAUGACGGUACCCAAAGAAUAAGCACCGGCUAACUUCGUGCCAGCAGCCGCGGUAAUACGAAGGGUGCAAGCGUUACUCGGAAUUACUGGGCGUAAAGCGUGCGUAGGUGGUUAUUUAAGUCCGUUGUGAAAGCCCUGGGCUCAACCUGGGAACUGCAGUGGAUACUGGGUGACUAGAAUGUGGUAGAGGGUAGCGGAAUUCCUGGUGUAGCAGUGAAAUGCGUAGAGAUCAGGAGGAACAUCCAUGGCGAAGGCAGCUACCUGGACCAACAUUGACACUGAGGCACGAAAGCGUGGGGAGCAAACAGG